GACGGAGGGGGCUAGCGUUGUUCGGAAUCACUGGGCGUAAAGGGCGCGUAGGCGGAGCGGCAAGUCGGAGGUGAAAGGCCCGGGCUCAACCUGGGAACGGCCUUUGAAACUGGCGCUCUGGAGUCCGGGAGAGGAUGGCGGAAUUCCCAGUGUAGAGGUGAAAUUCGUAGAUAUUGGGAGGAACACCAGUGGCGAAGGCGGCCAUCUGGACCGGCACUGACGCUGAGGCGCGAAAGCGUGGGGAGCAAACAGG
rnacentral:misc_RNA from 1 species